rnacentral:rRNA from 1 species
CAGCAGCCGCGGGAAUACGAAGGUCCCAAGCGUUGUUCGGAAUCACUGGGCGUAAAGGGAGCGUAGGCGGCGUGGUAAGUCAGAUGUGAAAUCCCGGGGCUCAACCCCGGAACUGCAUCCGAUACUGCCAUGCUUGAGGGUUGGAGAGGUAGCUGGAAUUCUUGGUGUAGCAGUGAAAUGCGUGGAUAUCAAGAGGAACACUCGUGGCGAAGGCGAGCUACUGGACAACAUCUGACGCUGAGGCUCGAAGGCCAGGGUAGCGAAAGGGAUUAGAUACCCCCGUAGUCCCUGUCUCUUAUAC